AUGGCCAUGUCACAUUGAAACACCAGUUUCUGUAUGAUCACUGAAGUUAAGCAACAUUAAGUCUGGUCAGUACCAUGAUUGGUAACCAGUUGGGAAUACCAGGUGCUGUAAG